rnacentral:rRNA from 1 species
UAAGGAAUAUUGCUCAAUGGGAGAAAUCCUGAAGCAGCAACGCCGCGUGGAGGAUGAAGGGUCUAUGACUUGUAAACUCCUGUAAAGAAGGAAAAAAUUCCCAUUUGAUGGGAGAUGAUGGUACUUCUGGAGUAAGCCCCGGCUAACUACGUGCUAGCAGCCGCGGUAAUACGUAGGGGGCAAGCGUUGUCCGGAUUUACUGGGUGUAAAGGGUGCUCAGGCGGAUUUGUAAGUCAGAGGUGAAAUCUUACAGCUUAACUGUGAAACUGCCUUUGAUACUGCAAGCCUAGAGUAUGGAAGAGAGUGAUGGAAUAUCUGGUGUAGCAGUGAAAUGCGUAGAUAUCAGAUAGAACACCAAUGGCGAAGGCAGUCACUUGGUCCAUUACUGACGCUAAAGCACGAAAGCGUGGGUAGCAAACA